UAGGGAAUCUUCCACAAUGGACGCAAGUCUGAUGGAGCAACGCCGCGUGAGUGAAGAAGGGUUUCGGCUCGUAAAGCUCUGUUGUUAAAGAAGAACGUGGGUAAGAGUAACUGUUUACCCAGUGACGGUAUUUAACCAGAAAGCCACGGCUAACUACGUCGCCA
rnacentral:rRNA from 1 species